CUGCAGGGAGGACCAAGGUUUAAAACACACACUGUUAUUUACUCAACAAUAAGUCACAGUUAUCCUUGUUUUAUUUAUGUGUUCUGUUGCUGUGUUUUUUUUCCAUUGGUCAAUUUACAGUAAUAAACCUUAGUUUUACAGUAUAAUGUAUGGUUUUCGGAUUCUGGCCGACAGCCAGAGCUACGGCACUUGAAAUAGAAUUCAGCCAAAACACGGCAGACAAGUCAGGCAUGUUUGGAAUGAGUCCACAACACUCCUGAUUGGUUAAUAUAAACAUCAUCGAAGAAACCUGCCAAUGAGAACUGUCCGCGCCUGUCGUUCACAUUUGAAACAUCCAAGUCAGUUUGAGCGGGUCUCCUCCUGCUGGAGCUACAGCUGUCUGUGUGUCUGCUACAGGAGUUUAUGGAUUCAUAUCGGGAUCGUUUUACAUCUACACGUUAAAUAUGAGCAUCGGGACGUCAACAAAGAACAGAAGACUUGAGAUCUGAGCACCAGUGGACAGCGAAGACUAUGGAAGAGAAGAUGUGAUGGUUUUGUGUGGAAAGCUGCUAACGCCAGCCUGUGUCCCUCUCAUCAGUCUCUCCAGGCAGCACCCAGCUAUUCUUCCAUCUUGCAGAUGAAAAGACUUUGAUAUCAUCUGGACACAGCAGGAAUCUACGCCAGGAUCCUGUUUGUGGACUUCAGCUCUGCCUUCAACACAACACUCUGGCUGGAGGCUGCGCUCCAUCAGGACCAACACCUCUCUCCCUCAGGACCAGAACCUCUCUCCAUCAGGACCAACACCUCUCUCCAUCAGGACCAACACCUCUCUCCAUCAGGACCAACACCUCUCUCCAUCAGGACCAGAACCUCUCUCCAUCAGGACCAGAACCUCUCUCCAUCAGGACCAA